rnacentral:rRNA from 1 species
UACGUAGGGGGCAAGCGUUGUCCGGAUUUAUUGGGCGUAAAGAGCUCGUAGGCGGUUUGUCGCGUCUGCCGUGAAAGUCCGGGGCUCAACUCCGGAUCUGCGGUGGGUACGGGCAGACUAGAGUGAUGUAGGGGAGACUGGAAUUCCUGGUGUAGCGGUGAAAUGCGCAGAUAUCGGGAAGAACACCCGUGGCGAAGGCGGCUCUCUGGGACGGUACUGACGCUGAGACGCGAAAGCGUGGGGAGCGAACAGG